AUUGAACGCUGGCGGAAUGCUUUACGCAUGCAAGUCGAACGGCAGCACGGGGCAACCUGGUGGCGAGUGGCGAACGGGUGAGUAAUACAUCGGAACGUGCCCAAUCGUGGGGGAUAACGUAGCGAAAGUUACGCUAAUACCGCAUACGAUCUACGGAUGAAAGCGGGGGAUCGCAAGACCUCGCGCGAGUGGAGCGGCCGAUGUCAGAUUAGGUAGUUGGUGGGUAAAGGCUCACCAAGCCAACGAUCUGUAGCUGGUCUGAGAGGACGACCAGCCACACUGGAACUGAGACACGGUCCAGACUCCUACGGGAGGCAGCAGUGGGGAAUUUUGG
rnacentral:rRNA from 1 species